CCUACGGGAGGCAGCAGUGGGGAAUAUUGCACAAUGGGGGAAACCCUGAUGCAGCGACGCCGCGUGAAGGAUGAAGUAUCUCGGUAUGUAAACUUCUAUCAGCAGGGAAGAAAAUGACGGUACCUGACUACGAAGCGCCGGCUAACUACGUGCCAGCAGUCGCUGUAAUACGGAGGGGGCACGCGGUAUCCGGAUUUACUGGGUGUAAAGGGAGCGUGGACGGUAUGGCAAGUCUGAUGGGAAAACCCGGGGCUCAACCCCGGGACUGCAGUGGAAACUGCCGAACUAGAGUGUCGGAGAGGCAAGUGGAAUUCCUAGUGUAGCGGUGAAAUGCGUAGAUAUUAGGAGGAACACCAGUGGCGAAGGCGGCUUGCUGGACGAUGACUGACGUUGAGGCUCGAAAGCGUGGGUAGCAAACAGGAUUAGAUACCCCAGUAGUC
rnacentral:rRNA from 1 species